AGAGUUUGAUCAUGGCUCAGAUUGAACGCUGGCGGUCAGCUUAACACAUGCAAGUCGAACGGUAACAUAGGAAGCUUGCUUCCUGAUGACGAGUGGCGGACGGGUGAGUAACGCGUGGGAAUCUACCCAGAAGUUCGGGACAACCUGGUGAAAACCAGGCUAAUACCGAAUAAUAUCUACGGAUGAAAGGAGGGGAUCUUCGGACCUUUCGCUUUUGGAUGAGCCCGCGUUAGAUUAGCUAGUUGGUGGGGUAAAGGCCUACCAAGGCGACGAUCUAUAGCUGGUCUGAGAGGACGAUCAGCCACACUGGGACUGAGACACGGCCCAGACUCCUACGGGAGGCAGCAGUGGGGAAUAUUGGACAAUGGGGGCAACCCUGAUCCAGCAAUACCGCGUGUGUGAAGAAGGCCUGCGGGUUGUAAAGCACUUUCAAUUGUGAAGAAAAGAUUAAGGUUAAUAACCUUAGUCCUUGACGUUAACUUUAGAAGAAGCACCGGCUAACUCCGUGCCAGCAGCCGCGGUAAUACGGAGGGCGCGAGCGUUAAUCGGAAUUACUGGGCGUAAAGCGUGCGUAGGCGGUUAUUUAAGUCAGAUGUGAAAGCCCAGGGCUCAACCUUGGAACUGCAUUUGAAACUGGAUAACUAGAGUUUGGUAGAGGUGAGUAGAAUUCCUAGUGUAGCGGUGAAAUGCGUAGAUAUUAGGAGGAAUACCAGUGGCGAAGGCGGCUCACUGGACCAAAACUGACGCUGAGGUACGAAAGCGUGGGGAGCAAACGGGAUUAGAUACCCCGGUAGUCCACGCCGUAAACGAUGUCAACUAGUCGUUGGGUCCUUCGGGGCUUAGUGACGCAGCUAACGCGUGAAGUUGACCGCCUGGGGAGUACGGCCGCAAGGCUAAAACUCAAAUGAAUUGACGG
rnacentral:rRNA from 1 species